rnacentral:lncRNA from 1 species
CCUGAGUUGGGUCGAUGAUGAGAACCUUAUAUUAUCCUGAAGAGAGGUGAUGACUUAAAAAUCAUGCUCAAUAGGAUUACGCUGAGGCCCAGUCUAGGUGAGAGUUUUGGAAGAGGAUGCUGGGAUCCUGAGGUCCCCUGGUAGAGCCAAUUGUAUUUUGGGCUGGAGACCUGGAAGCCCUGAAGGGCAUCUGGGAGGCCCAACCCUGUCUCUGUGCUCCUCCAUGAGGCAGCCCUGGCUCCCCAUGUAGGCUUGGUGAUGGCCUUCCUGUUCCCUGGGGGUGGGGCACAUGGGUAGCUCCUCCCUGACCCCCAUUCUCUCCUGUGUCUUUCAGUGAGCUCUUCCCCACAGGUGGGCCCCCUGGCAUUGACUAGCAUCGUGAGCUCUUCUGCCCAGCAGCCUCCCUGGCAGUGACCAGCAUAGAUGCUGACCCUGGAGGAAGAAUUGCACUGGGCCCACUGGCCCCGGGAAAAUGUCCCUCAGCCAGGUGCUUAGCCCCUGGUAAUCUGAAGCUCAGGCCCUUCCUGAUGCCCUGGUCUCCUGC